GAUGAACGCUGGCGGCGUGCCUAAUACAUGCAAGUCGAGCGAACAGACGAGGAGCUUGCUCCUCUGACGUUAGCGGCGGACGGGUGAGUAACACGUUGAUAACCUACCUAUAAGACUGGGAUAACUUCGGGAAACCGGAGCUAAUACCGUAUAAUCUAUUGAACCGCAUUGUUCAAUAGUUAAAGACGGUUUUGCUGUCACUUAUAGCUGGAUCCGCGCCGCAUUAGCUAGUUGGUAAGGUAACGGCUUACCAAGGCAACGAUGCGUAGCCGACCUGAGAGGGUGAUCGGCCACACUGGAACUGAGAAACGGUCCAGACUCCUACGGGAGGCAGCAGUAGGGAAUCUUCCGAAAUGGGCGAAAGCCUGACGGAGCAACGCCGCGUGAGUGAUGAAGGUCUUCGGAUCGUAAAACUCUGUUAUUAGGGAAGAACAAAUGUGUAAGUAACUAUGCACGUCUUGACGGUACCUAAUCAGAAAGCCACGGCUAACUACGUG
rnacentral:rRNA from 1 species